rnacentral:rRNA from 1 species
GAUGAACGCUGGCGGCGUGCUUAACACAUGCAAGUCGAACGAUUAAGACCCCUUCGGGGGUGUAUAGAGUGGCGAACGGGUGAGUAACACGUGGGCAACCUGCCCCUUCCUCUGGGAUAACACGGAGAAAUCCGUGCUAAUACCGGAUACUCCAUAUCUGCGGCAUCGCGGAUAUGGGAAAGCUCCGACGGGAAGGGAUGGCCCGCGGUCCAUUAGCUAGUCGGUGGGGUAACGGCCUACCGAGGCGACGAUGGAUAGCCGGGUUGAGAGACCGACCGGCCACAUUGGGACUGAGACACGGCCCAGACUCCUACGGGAGGCAGCAGUGGGGAAUUUUGCGCAAUGGGGGAAACCCUGACGCAGCAACGCCGCGUGCGGGAUGAAGGCCUUCGGGUUGUAAACCGCUUUCAGCAGGGAAGAAUACAGACGGUACCUGCAGAAGAAGCUCCGGCUAACUACGUGCCAGCCGCCGCGGUAAUAC